AUAUCCCUGCCAUGUGCGUGUGAUAUCGCAGUUUUGAGCCAACACAUUUACUUUGGGAGUCUGAACUCUCGUCUGAACGUUACGCCCGUACGGGACAACUGCAGGAUGAGGAGGACACCCACC
rnacentral:sRNA from 1 species